UUUUUACAGAGCCAUCCGUUUGUGACGUUUGUACCGGACGUUUUACACCCGCUGUUAUUCGCGGAAGAUGUCAAAAUUACGGGCGUGCAAGACAAA